AACGAACGCUGGCGGCAGGCUUAACACAUGCAAGUCGAACGCACCUUUCGGGGUGAGUGGCAGACGGGUGAGUAACGCGUGGGAAUCUACCCUUCUCUACGGGAUAGCUCCGGGAAACUGGAAUUAAUACCGUAUACGUCCUGAGGGAGAAAGAUUUAUCGGGGAAGGAUGAGCCCGCGUUGGAUUAGCUAGUUGGUGGGGUAAAGGCCUACCAAGGCGACGAUCCAUAGCUGGUCUAAGAGGAUGAUCAGCCACAUUGGGACUGAGACACGGCCCAAACUCCUACGGGAAGCAGCAGUGGGGAAUAGUGGACAGUGGGCGCAAGCCUGAUCCAGCCAUGCCGCGUGAGUGAUGAAGGCCCUAGGGUUGUAAAGCUCUUUCAGGGGUGACGAUAAUGACGGUACCCACAGAAGAAGCCCCGGCUAACUUCGUG
rnacentral:rRNA from 1 species